GACGAACGCUGGCGGCGGGCUUAACACAUGCAAGUCGAACGGAAAGGCCCUGCUUUUGUGGGGUGCUCGAGUGGCGAACGGGUGAGUAACACGUGAGUAACCUGCCCUUGACUGUGGGAUAACUUCAGGAAACUGGGGCUAAUACCGGAUAGGAGCUCCUGCUGCAUGGUGGGGGUUGGAAAGUUUCGGCGGUUGGGGAUGGACUCGCGGCUUAUCAACUUGUUGGUGGGGUAGUGGCUUACCAAGGCUUUGACGGGUAGCCGGCCUGAGAGGGUGACCGGCCACCUUGGGCCUGAGAUACGGCCCAGACUCCUACGGGAGGCAGCAGUGGGGAAUAUUGCACAAUGGGCGGAAGCCUGAUGCAGCAACGCCGCGUGCGGGAUGACGGCCUUCGGGCUGUAAACCGCUUUCGCCUGUGACGAAGCGUGAGUGACGGUAAUGGGUAAAGAAGCACCGGCUAACUACGUG
rnacentral:rRNA from 1 species